AGCCGUGGCAAGAGCGUGGUGGACCCACCUAGCUCCAUCCCGAACCUAGAAGUGAAACGCCUCAGCACCGAAAAUAGUCCUACCGCAGGGUAGUGCCAAGAUAGGUCGCUGCGGCUU
rnacentral:rRNA from 2 species